rnacentral:rRNA from 1 species
AUGUGUUCAUUCCCUGUUCCUCCGGUCGUGCUGCAGCUGUUCCUGCUGCUCUUCUUGGCCUCUCCGGCCACCGCAUGCACCGAGCAGGAGAAGCGCAACCUCCUACGGUUCCUUGACGGGCUGUCGUGUGAUGGUGGCCUCGCCACAUCGUGGCGUAACAAUGGCACGGACUGCUGCAAGUGGGAAGGCAUCUCCUGCAAUGGAGAUGGGGCCGUCACCGGGGUCUCCCUGGAGUCUAAAGGACUUGAAGGGCCCAUCUCGCCAUUCCUCACCAACCUCACCAGCCUGCUGCGCGUCAACCUCUCGCACAACUCGUUCUCCGAUGGUCUUCCGGCGGAGCUCAUGUUCUCCGGAAGCAUCAUCGUCCUCGAUCUCAGCUUCAACCGGCUCAACGGACCGCUGCCCGAGCUUCCGCCUUUUCUUACCACCGACCGGCCUCUGCAAGUACUCAACAUCUCAAGCAACCAGUUCAGCUCACAAUUUCCAUCAGCCACAUGGAAGGUGAUAAACAGUCUGAUUGCGCUCAACGCCAGCAAUAACAGCUUCACUGGGAACAUGCCAUCUUCUCUCUGCCUUGGGUCACCAUAUUUAGCAUUGCUUGACCUCUGUUACAACCAAUUGAGUGGUGACAUACCAAACACGUUGGGUAAUUGUUCCAAGCUCAAAGUGCUCAAGGCUGCCAACAACAACCUAAGUGGGAUUCUCCCUGUUGAAACCUUCCACGCUACCUUGCUGGAGUACCUCUCCUUCCCCAACAAUGGUUUACAAGGAGAACUUGAUGGAGCACAUAUUGUCAAAGUCAGCAAUCUAGCUACUCCUUGGAGGGAAUCACUUCAGUGGCAAGAUUCCGGAGUCGAUAUCUCUGCUCAAGAGGCUGGAGGAGCUGCAUUUAGGUAG